AUUUUAUUAGUAUAAAGAGUAUGGUUGUUUUCCAAACAAUUGGUUUAAUUGAGUAUGUUAAAUAAAAUA
rnacentral:tRNA from 1 species